GCGUAGCUAUAAACUUUGAUGAGCUAUUACAUUAUCAUUCGCCAGGGUACUACGAGCACCAGCUUAAAACCCAAAGGACUUGGCGGUGCUUUAGACCCACCUAGAGGAGCCUGUUCUGGAACCGAUAACCCCCGUUAAACCUCACCCUCCCUUGUUCUUUCCGCCUAUAUACCGCCGUCGUCAGCUUACCCUGUGAAGGACAAAUAGUAAGCAGAACCAGUAGCACUCAAAACGUCAGGUCGAGGUGUAGCAUAUGAGAGGGGAAGAAAUGGGCUACAUUCCUUGCUUCAAGGAAAACGGAUAAUAUAAUGAAAAGUAUAUUAGAAGGAGGAUUUAGCAGUAAGCAGAAAAUAGAGAGUUCUGCUGAAACUGGCCCUGAAGCGCGC
rnacentral:rRNA from 1 species